UUUCUCAGCCAUACAGUUUGCUUUAAUAAGAGGGUUUCUUUGUUUCUCCUCUGACUUGAUUGCUUUUAUCCCCAAUUUCUUUCUCUCCACAAGCACACAUUUGUUCUUUCUUUCCUCUAAUGCUCUUGGUCAGAUGAAUACUUUUGUAGUUCAUUUAACCACUCUGCUUCUAAUUUCCUUCCUUAAUACCUCCUUGAAUGAUAAGUGGAAUCACUACUGGAGCCACUUCUAACUUGGGAUUCUCAGUAACUUUUAUCUGUUGAGGAGGAAAUAGGCUGAAUGUAGUGAGAUGAAGUCUGGCUCUUGUUGCCUAGGCUGGAGUGCAGUUGCACGAUCUCGGCUCACGUGGUUUUGAUUGUACCAAAAAAAGAAGGAAAUAAAGAAGGUGGAGAUGGAGACUGGAACCAAGGAGGAUGCAGAGCAAAAAUAAGAAAGGAGUGGUGCUAUGUGACUGAACUUAUGGCAGAGCAUGUGAUCAAGCUUUCCUCUGGAUCUAUUUUAUUCACUGUGAAGCUCAAGACACACAGAGAGGCCUAUGUGGAGAGGAACUGAGCUCAGGCAGCAUCUUCAUCUGAUCUCCUAGUUGACAGCCAGCCAAACUUUUCCAGCCAAGUGAAAAAUGGGCCAUCUUGGAAAUGGAUUAUCCAACCUUCGGGAAAGUUCUCCCUACCAUUGCUCCAUGGAGCACUACCAUUCUCUGUCAAAAUUGCAAAUUCGUA
rnacentral:lncRNA from 1 species